CCCCACUUGGAUGGCUUCAAAAGAGGGUGAGAAAGGUUUCUGGGGGAGAGGGCUAUUGAGAGCUACUAGCCAUGAGGUCUGUGCUUUGCCUCCUUCUGAGUCACUGGAGACUGCAGGCGGGCAGAGAGCUCUUGUGAGUUUUCCUCAGGCAUCUGGGUGGCCCCUGUAAGAACAGGGUGCUGGACUCCUUAUGCCCAUGGCCUGACCCAGCCGGGCUAUUCUGAUGUUCUUAUAUUCUUAUGAAGCUCAGUUUAAUAAACAGUCCUCAUGGUGAACCAGACAGGAAUUCAGGACAAAGGAGAGGCAGGGAAGGAAAUCCCAUCCCUUCUGGUUCUGGCUUCCUGGUUGACUUCAAAUCAACUACUACAAUAACAAUUGCAGGAAAUCAGUUCCAAUUCCAGAAAUCCAGGAAAUUUAGUAGCACCUGCUGACAAUAGGUCUGUAUAAGGAAAUUUGGCACCACCUAAAAACAUUAGUGAGAGCUGGAGCAUCAAGAAGGCUGAUUGCCGAAGAAUUGAUGCUUUUGAAUUAUGGUGCUGGAGGAGACUCUUGAAAGUCUCAUGGACUGCAAGAAGAUCAAGCCUCUCCAUUCUGAAGGAAAUCAGCCCUGAGUGCUCACUGGAAGGACAGAUCGUGAAGCUGAGGCUCCAAUACUUUGGCCACCUCAUGAGAAGAGAAGACUCCCUGGAAAAGACCCUGAUGUUGGGAAAGUUGGAGGGCACAAGGAGAAGGGGACGACAGGACGAGAUGGUUGGAUAGUGUUCUCGAAUCUACCAGCAUGAGUUUGACCAAACUGCGGGAGGCAGUGGAAGGCAGGAGUGCCUGGCGUGCUCUGGUCCAUGGGGUCACGAAGACUCGGACAUGACUAAACGACUAAACAACAACAACCAAAACAUUAUGGUUGCUUAGAAAGUUGAGGUACAUAAUUAUAAUCUGCUUUAAUAUUUUUACUUUUGUAUGUUUUAAAUUAGUGUUGUAUUUUUUCUGAUUUUAUUGCUUUAUCUUUUUGUAUACUGCUCUGAGGGUUUUACAUUAAAGUGGUGUGUGAAUCUUAUGAUUCCCAGGUUUGGGGAGGCAGAAACAGGGACUCUGCUGUGCAUGAGUAGGUUAGGUUUGUCACUUUCAAAAAAUUAGUGAAUUCUUACUGCAUGGUGCUACUUAGCCAUUUUUCAUGGAGCAGAUUUUGGGCACCUAAACGCUUGCCAACUUUUGUGAGACCUUGCACUGGCUGCCUCUAAAACAUUAAGAUCUUUCAUUGCUUUUAAAAUCUCAUUGUCUUUUGCAUUCCUCCCUGAAGAGGCUCCAUAAAAUUAUAGAAACCAAUGCUCUUU